UACAGAGGUCUCAAGCGUUGUUCGGAUUCAUUGGGCGUAAAGGGCGCGUAGGCGGCGGGGUAAGUCGGGUGUGAAAUCUCAGAGCUCAACUCUGAAACUGCACUCGAUACUGCUCUGCUUGAGGACUGGAGAGGAGACUGGAAUUCACGGUGUAGCAGUGAAAUGCGUAGAUAUCGUGAGGAAGACCAGAGGCGAAGGCGGGUCUCUGGACAGUUCCUGACGCUGAGGCGCGAAGGCCAGGGGAGCAAACGGG
rnacentral:rRNA from 1 species